rnacentral:rRNA from 1 species
GUUGUGCCCUUGAGGCGUGGCUUCCGGAGCUAACGCGUUAAGUCGACCGCCUGGGGAGUACGGCCGCAAGGUUAAAACUCAAAUGAAUUGACGGGGGCCCGCACAAGCGGUGGAGCAUGUGGUUUAAUUCGAUGCAACGCGAAGAACCUUACCUGGUCUUGACAUCCACAGAACUUUCCAGAGAUGGAUUGGUGCCUUCGGGAACUGUGAGACAGGUGCUGCAUGGCUGUCGUCAGCUCGUGUUGUGAAAUGUUGGGUUAAGUCCCGCAACGAGCGCAACCCUUAUCCUUUGUUGCCAGCGGUCCGGCCGGGAACUCAAAGGAGACUGCCAGUGAUAAACUGGAGGAAGGUGGGGAUGACGUCAAGUCAUCAUGGCCCUUACGACCAGGGCUACACACGUGCUACAAUGGCGCAUACAAAGAGAAGCGACCUCGCGAGAGCAAGCGGACCUCAUAAAGUGCGUCGUAGUCCGGAUUGGAGUCUGCAACUCGACUCCAUGAAGUCGGAAUCGCUAGUAAUCGUGGAUCAGAAUGCCACGGUGAAUACGUUCCCGGGCCUUGUACACACCGCCCGUCACACCAUGGGAGUGGGUUGCAAAAGAAGUAGGUAGCUUAACCUUCGGGAGGGCGCUUACCACUUUGUGAUUCAUGACUGGGGUGAAGUCGUAACAAGGUAACCGUAGGGGAACCUGCGGUUGGAUCACCUCCUU